rfam:Punica granatum cultivar Dabenzi scaffold158, whole genome shotgun sequence.
GAGAAGUGAUGAGGAAAACCUUUUCGGUCCGUGUUUCUGAUACAACCGUGACUGAUACUUCAUUAACCUUUCCCUCUGAUCUC